CCGUUUGGAUAUAGCUUAUUGUUGCUGAAACUGAAAACUGAAAACUGAAAACACUGUAGCAAAUAAGUAGGAAAACGCGUGUGAUAAAUUUAGCUGAAAGUACUGUAGCGCUGCUGAAAUUACUGUAGCAUAUAAAUACCAAAAUUUUACUCUGAUUUUCUUUUCCACUCCUCACCGUACCCUAGCUAAGCCUCUGAAGCGGAGAGUUCCACGCCCAUCCGAGAUUGAUGAAGGAAGACCUACAUCAGUCCGACGCCGGCGAAGAGCCUAGGUGAGAAAUCCAUCUAUCGGAAGACAACACCAGUCCGACGCCGGCGUCUUCUCUUCCUUCCAGAAACCCAUUUCACCCUUUUCCCUCCGUCCCUCGAGCUCCGACCCAUGACACAUCUCUUCCCAUAAAUAUAUGGGAACAUAAAUUUUUCGAUUAGCAAGAUUUUUGGUUUUAUCUGCAAAUGGAUGUCAUAUUACCCAGUACUGAAGUGCCCAUAAUUUAAUUGUUUCAGUUAUCCAUUGAAAGUGUUCAAAAGGCUGGCAAUGGUUGCUCAGAAACUUUGCAAAGGAAGGCAGAUUCAUUCAUACUUUCAUUAUGGAAAAGUUUGCCAUUAUAAAAUUCGUAACAUAAGCCCCCGAGAAAAAAAGACCACACUCACACCAAGCCAAGGUUUGAUCAGAGAAACACAGAGAGAGAAAGAGAACAGGUUUUUCAAAUUCUUCAAAGUCCAAGUACUUCUCUGCAAAGCUAAAAUGGUGAAAAGUUGAGAGCUUUGAAGUUUGAUGAGUCGAUGCAUGAGAGUGAUUAGCUUCUACCUAGCGAUUGAAGAAGAGAUCAUCUUACUUUUCGAGAUGAUGUAUAUUUCCUAUGUUUGGUAAUUAAUAUGUUGAAUUAAUAAAAGGCAAUAGUUGUGCUCUGUGCAGUUCUACUUUUUUGCCUUAUAAUAAUAUUUUUUUGAUAAUAUUGUGCAGUUCUACUUUUUUUGCCCUUUAAUAAUCUCUGUUGACAAUAUUGUAUUAAUAAAUGCGCAUAAAAAUUUUCUUCUGUGGAUCAAAAAAGUGAUCUUUGGGCUAAAUAUGCGUGAAGUUUUUUAUUGAUUGAAGUUUUCUGUUGUUAUCUGCAGUGUCUUUGCUUCAGCCUUCUCUGAUUUUCGAAGAAAGUUGUUUGAUUUGAAUGUUGAUGACAAAUAUUUGUGGGCACAAGCUUUGACCGGUUUGCAAACUAGCAUUAAUAGCGAAAUUAGAAAUUUAUAUUCAACUGGAAGAUUUACAGUUUUGAAAGAGCUCGAAGCAGUUAAUACAAGUGUAAAGAAAUUGUAUCCCAUGAUCCAAGAUGGUGUGGACUUUCAGAGGGACUAGAUCUUCGUACAAACCAAUAUGAUGGCUUUUUUCAUGUAGUUUUAAUUGGGCGUGAUGCUUUGCUCUAUAAUGUUAGACAGAGUAGUAGUGUCUCUGACCCAAAGCUAGGUUGCAAAGUAGUAGAAAGAGUACAAUCUUAAUUAUUGGGGAUAGCUAAAAUUUGUUUAGGGCUUCAUGUAGAUUCUUUUGUAUUUGAUAUUAUUCUAUUGAUUCGUUUCUAUUUGAUAUUA